rnacentral:rRNA from 1 species
AACGAACGCUGGCGGCAUGCCUAACACAUGCAAGUCGAACGAGACCUUCGGGUCUAGUGGCGCACGGGUGCGUAACGCGUGGGAACCUGCCCUUAGGUUCGGAAUAACUCCCCGAAAGGGGUGCUAAUACCGGAUAAUGUCUUCGGACCAAAGAUUUAUCGCCUUUGGAUGGGCCCGCGUUGGAUUAGCUAGUUGGUAGGGUAAAAGCCUACCAAGGCGACGAUCCAUAGCUGGUCUGGGAGGAUGAUCAGCCACACUGGGACUGAGACACGGCCCAGACUCCUACGGGAGGCAGCAGUGGGGAAUAUUGGACAAUGGGCGAAAGCCUGAUACAGCAGUGCCGCGUGAGUGAUGAAGGCCUUAGGGUUGUAAAGCUCUUUUACCCGGGAUGAUAAUGACAGUACCGGGAGAAUAAGCUCCGGCUAACUCCGUG